GGGGCUAUAGCUCAGCUGGGAGAGCGCCUGAUUUGCAUUCAGUAGAUCAGCAGUUCGACCCUGCUUAGC
rnacentral:tRNA from 1 species